rnacentral:lncRNA from 1 species
AUUUGACACAUUAUUUUGAGACAGUAUUUAUAGAUAUAGAUAACUUGAAUUUCUUGAAUACUGACUUAGUUCAUAUAUUAAAGUAGAAGAAUUCAAAGGUUUUAAGAAAAUAAUCUCAUCUUUGUAUUUGUGUGUAUCAGUGUGAAAAUAAACGUGCUAUUGCAUCUACGUGAAGGUCAAGAGAACGACUUGGAGAAGUUGCUUGUACUUUCCUUCAACCCAGUGAGUCCUUGGGCUUGAACUCAAGUCAUUAAGCUCAACUGCAACUGCCUUUACCCACUGAGCCCUCUUGCCAGCCCAAUAUUCUCAUUUUAGAGUACAGAAAACCAGAAAAUGGCAGAGUCAUCCUCUCAAAGAAGAUUUGUUUAAGGCAAUUUCUUAUCCACUGUCAUCCCUGGUAAGCAUUUAGCAUCUGGUAAAGAAUUUACAGAUCACUAGUGGAGAGAUAAAAGCUUGCGAGCAUGUGUUCCAAGGCUGGAAGGACUCAGUAGUUUGUUUUAUCUAUACCCCCUCC